AUAUCACCAUUCAAGGUGGCAGGGGAAGGAAAAACAUGGAAUGAAAGAAUGGAAUGAAAGAACCAGAGGCAUGUUUUCUCAUGAAACCUACCCUUCAAGCUUCAGAAAGAAUGUCCUAAGGAUGUCAAGCCAACUGAAGCCAGCUAAUCCCAUCAAACUUAAAUGGGCAACCAACAGCCAGCAUACCAGAGAGUUUCAGAUGAGCCACGUGUGCUAUUUGUUUCCUCCUGUCAGCUGCUCUGUCCUUCAUCACAGACCUCCACUGGAUGUGAUGACUUCUUGAAAGCAGCUUUAGAAGAACCUCCCCAAAACUUGGGAAGAAUCUUUCCUCAGACAGUAGUGCUGAAAAGAGCAUCUCAAGAUUAACUUGCCAUGAGAUCAUUAAAAUAAUAUUUCAAUAAAUAAUCAACUAUCUACA
rnacentral:lncRNA from 1 species